ACGGGUGAGUAAUACUUAGGAAUCUGCCCAUUAUGGGGGGACAACUCGAGGAAACUCGAGCUAAUACCGCAUACGCCCUACGGGGGAAAGCGGAGGACCUUUCGGGGCUUCGCGCUAAUGGAUGAGCCUAAGUCGGAUUAGCUUGUUGGUGAGGUAAAGGCUCACCAAGGCGACGAUCCGUAGCUGGUCUGAGAGGACGAUCAGCCACACUGGGUACUGAGACACGGCCCAG
rnacentral:rRNA from 1 species